rnacentral:rRNA from 1 species
CUACGGGGGGCAGCAGUGGGGAAUAUUGCACAAUGGGGGAAACCCUGAUGCAGCAACGCCGCGUGGAGGAUGACGCAUUUCGGUGUGUAAACUCCUUUUAUAUCCCAAGAUAAUGACGGUAGGAUAUGAAUAAGCACCCGCUAACUCCGUGCCAGCAGCCGCGGUAAUACGGAGGGUGCAAGCGUUAAUCGGAAUCACUGGGCGUAAAGGAUGCGUAGGCUGGAAGUCAAGUCAUAAGUGAAAUCCCACGGCUCAACCGUGGAACUGCUUGUGAAACUGACUUUCUAGAAUGUGGGAGAGGUAGAUGGAAUUAGUGGUGUAGGGGUAAAAUCCGUAGAGAUCACUAGGAAUACCGAUUGCGAAGGCGAUCUACUGGAACACUAUUGACGCUGAGGCAUGAAAGCGUGGGGAGCAAACAGGAUUAGAUACCCGUGUAGUC